GAUGAACGCUGGCGGCGUGCCUAAUACAUGCAAGUCGAGCGAACAGACGAGGAGCUUGCUCCUCUGACGUUAGCGGCGGACGGGUGAGUAACACGUGGAUACCCUACCUAUAAGACUGGGAUAACUUCGGGACACCGGCGCUAAUACCGGAUAAUAUCUUGAACCGCAUGGUUCAAUAGUGAAAGACGGUUUUGCUGUCACUUAUAGAUGGAUCCGCGCCGCAUGAGCUAGUUGUUAAGGUAACGGCUUACCAAGGCAACGAUGCGUAGCCGACCUGAGAGGGUGAUCGGCCACACUGGAACUGAGACACGGUCCAGACUCCUACGGGAGGCAGCAGUAGGGAAUCUUCUGCAAAGGGCGAAAGCCUGACGGAGCAACGCCGCGUGAGUGAUGAAGGUCUUCGGAUCGUAAAACUCUGUUAUUAGGGAAGAACAAAUGUGUAAGUAACUAUGCACGUCUUGACGGUACCUAAUCAGAAAGCCACGGCUAACUACGUG
rnacentral:rRNA from 1 species